GACGAACGCUGGCGGCGUGCUUAACACAUGCAAGUCGAACGAUGAAGCCGGAGCUUGCUCUGGUGAAUUAGUGGCGAACGGGUGAGUAACACGUGAGUAACCUGCCCUUGACUCUGGGAUAACUGCGGGAAACUGUAGCUAAUACCGGAUACGACCCUCGGAGGCAUCUCCUGGGGGUGGAAAGAAUUUCGGUCAAGGAUGGACUCGCGGCCUAUCAGCUAGUUGGUGAGGUAAAGGCUCACCAAGGCGACGACGGGUAGCCGGCCUGAGAGGUGGAACGGCCACACUGGGGCUGGGACACGGCCCAGACUCCUACGGGAGGCAGCAGGGGGGAAUAUUGCACAAUGGGCGCAAGCCUGAUGCAGCGACGCCGCGUGAGGGAUGACGGACUUAGGGUUGUAAACCUCUUUUAGCAGGGAAGAAGCGAAAGUGACGGUACCUGCAGAAAAAGCACCGGCUAACUACGUGCCAGCCGCCGCCGUAA
rnacentral:rRNA from 1 species